rnacentral:rRNA from 1 species
CUGUUGUCCCACCUGACCCCAUGCCGAACUCAGAAGUGAAACGCCGUAGCGCCGAUGGUAGUGUGGGGUCUCCCCAUGCGAGAGUAGGGAACUGCCAGGC